UCCUCUUUUUUUGAAAAAAAAAGAAAAUGAAAAAAGUUUUUUGUCGUUACCUAGACGAAAAAGGGUUAGGUAACACGGUCAAUCCGCAGCUAUGUUUUGACUUAAGCAAAAUUAAUGUAUACGCUUUAAGCGUCCAGCCCACUUUCAAACUGGCACCAAUUUUUCUAUUUCUCAGCCAUUUCUGCACGGAAUUUCUUGACCACUUCAAGAUCUGAUCUGUGAUGUAUCCCAAACACAUCGGUUACCUUCAAAGAUCGUCAGGUUGACGAUCUUUGAAAGGCAACAGUCAGCAGUUCCAUCGAUGAGCCUCUUUGAAGCCCCUAGUUUGUAGGUGGGCUGGACGCUGUAGGCCUUGUCUCCACGGGCCUUUUCACGAGAUUUGUCCCAGGGAAAAAUCCCUCUUAUGAAGUUGGGAAAAAUAUUGAGUUAAUCAAUAUUAGUUUUUAUUAAGUAUUGAUUAACUCAAUAUUUUUCCCAGUACCAGGUAUGGUCCUUUUACCCCUAGGACCCACUGAGAGAGGAAGAAGAAGUGUAAACAAUUUGUGUGAUAUUUUGUUGAUUACUCCAUUGUUCAUGUUUUUUUAGUUAAAAUAAUGUGUCUAAUUGUCAAUUGAGUGCAAUUAUCAUUUUAAUCCCGGUUAAAUACUCAACUUAAGCUAAUUUAUCUUCCCGCGCAAACUAGUCGCAGGACCGUAUGAGCCCCGUCCCGUGGAGACGGUAACUGGGAAAAAUCCCUGAAAUUUCAUUCCGGCGAUUCGAACUUGGGACAAAUCCCAUGAAAACGUACCGUGGAGACAAGGAAGGCCUUACAGUAGGUCAUUUUCUUGUAUGAUGGAACAUGGCUUACCUUAUUGAGGAAAGAGCGGCGAAAACUAUCCUUGGUGAAUUUGGUGCUGACUCCUUCGAUUUCCAAAAACUGGGCACACUGUCGCAGGAGCAUGGAUCGUAGUCUUUCCCGCAUGCUUUCCUCUUCCAUGGACGACAUUUUCAACCUGGCCGGUGGCGGAGGCACAGUCGCGAUUGUUCCCGGCGUCGAACUCGAUCUUCUUUUCGCCAGAGAACCCGUUUCCGGUUUCUUUGCCCCUGAUUCCACCCCCUCGCCGGAAACGCUCGCCGCAGGCAUCGCCGUUUCCGGUUUCAUCGAUACCAUUUCCGAGUUCAUCGCUGCUGUUUCCGGUUUCAUCGAUGCAGUUUCCGGUUUCAUCGAUGACGUUUCCAGUUUCGACGAUGACGUUUCCGGUUUCAUCGACGGCGUUUCCGGUGUUUUUGGACGAACUAAAUUCUUCGAUUCCUCGGCAUUUCCGGCACUAGUCACAGCGCGAGUCGCUUCCGGCUCCGAAUCGGGAGGGUCGUCACUGAGAGUGUACUUGCUCUCUUUGCUGGCCCACUGGGAGGUGAUGUCGCGGAGGAGCCCGAGGGAUUUGCGGCGCACUUCCGUUUCCGUUUCCGGUUUCGCGGCGCUCACUUCCGGUGGCAGACGCUCACUUUUCCGACGCGUCGCCUCGUCCACCUGGUCUGUCCCCUCCAUCUCAGUUCACCGAGGGGAGGCUUCGCAUGAAAAGAAAUCCGAGUUAUGCCCGCUGGAAAAUCCGAGUUUUUAUUCGGGAACUUCAACUAACACUUCCGCUCAGCACGCACAUUGAUGUGUGACACACUUGACUAAAGAUGAGGGACUGAAGGGAGUAGGAUUCAAUUCAGAAUAAGGAUUUUUGCAGUGAAAAAGUUGUCGACGAAUGGCACGCACGACGCACGUAUUCUGCCGUGCUAAGGAAAACGUCGAAUGAGCCUCCAGGCGUUGCCAAAUUUCCCCUGUGAAAUCACGAAUUUUCAUGGAAUUUUUUGAAUAUUUUUCUGCAAAUUUCUUAGAUCAUUUUGUUUGUAAUAUGAUCUAAAGUAUCUGAAAAUGUCAAGGAAAAACAUUCAUGAUGUUCCUCAAAAAUACACAUUUUAAUCAAAGGAAAUUUGGCAAUUAUCGAAUGUUCAUUCGGCGCUCUUCCUUAGAACGGCAAUAUUGAUGUGUGACGUAAGGUGACGAAGGAGAUGAGCGAUAGGGCAGAGGAGGAUUUACUGAUUAAAGAGUUCCGAGAAAAUAAAUACCACUGUAAACAAUAUCGACAGUCAUUAGCCUAUAGCAAGCUUAUUGAUUUCACACAUGAGGCUUAGCGUGGAAGGUGAUUGAUUGGUUAGGGAGUAUUUCUGAGAAAGGAGAAUAUCCAGAGAAAAAAUGUGUCACUCGGUGCCGUUCAGUCAUACAAGGAUCCAUCAGUAUCAUCUUAUGAAAUUAAAAUUCUAUUUAUGAUGAAAGAAGAAGGCAAUAAUUUAAAAAAUUGAUAAAUUUGAUAUUUUUUUUAAAAUUAAUUUGAUUCUUUUCCAUGGUAUUAUUUCAGUUAUUAGUAAUUUGAAUUCUAUCAUUGUUUUGGUCGUAUUCAUAUUUCCUUUUUAUUAUGAAACAUUUGAUGAAUCAUAGAGAUGUCAUUGUUGAGAGAUUGGCAUUUUAAACGAAACAUGAAUGGACUAUCAAAGGAACAAUGUCAUGAAGGAUAAAUUACCGAAAGUGCCAAUGAAAGACACAGGUAUAAUUAAUUGCUUUAAAUUCAACCUGGUGAAAUCAUGAAGUCAAAAUAAAAACUGUGGAAUCUAGAAGGUAAUUUGUUUCCAAUCGUUUAUAUUGAUGAAACAUUUCAAGAGCACAUCUGAGAGGACCUUUCUCAUUUAUACAUUGAAAAUCAGAAAUGUUUAAUGCAGCUAUCGGAAGUUGGCUUUAAAGGACAGACGCAAAGCCACCAGACACAGGAAAAUAAUUCGUUCCCUCGUAAUGCUGAGGCAUGAAUGAGAGACAUAUGGAGGAGUAAUACUGGUACAUUUUCCUCUAAUUUUUUUCGCUCCAAAAAUUUACGUCGUACGUCAUUAAACGAAGCGCCAGAUUCUUUGAAAUCCAUCAACGAGGUGCCCGAAGAGACCCGAUUCGUUUUGUAACUUUGACCGGCAUGAAAAUAGUCAAACUUCUCCUCUCAUCCUAAGCCUUGAAGUAUGUCACGUCUCGAAUUGGUAAAAGCGUAAUAUACUUGAAGAAAUUCACUUUUUUUUCAGAACUUUGAGCGUCAGACAUUCUUGCCUCAUCGUGGAGCGAAUGUCAAUUGGGUUUUACGCUCAAGAAUGGAAUUCGGCUCACGGUCACAUUUUGAGCGCUCUCGCCCGAUUUAUGGUGGAAUAGAUUUAUUAAGAAAGUUAUGACAAAUAUCGAGAACACUAAGCCGGAUGAUUAGGUGAGGCGCUAGGUAUUUUGAUUGGUCCAUAAAUGAAAACGCAUCGCACGAACUCAUUCUCACGAGUUGAGUGAAAAUUUAGGACAAUUUUGUAUCGGAGAUUAUUACACCCACUCCAUCUUUUUUUUUUUUUUUGAAGUAUUUGUUCUUGUAUCGGUCAAAAAGAAUAAACUUUGAAUGAUUGUCCAUCAAUUCAGUGACACGAUGAAGUCAAGGGAAAUUCGUAUACAUGAUGAAAGAAAUGUCUAUGUAUAAUCAGUGGUUUUAAUUUUCGAUCAUUUUUAUUAUUGAUGGUAAGCAUUAUAGAAUUUAGAAGCGUACAUGUCAAAAUAGAGAUAUUUUUUAAAAAAACAUUUUACGCGGAAGAUAUUCAAGAAAUAUUUUUUUCAUGCAUCAAUUUCGCAUUUUCAGUAUCUAUUUCGUUUUUCUUCAAAGCGAACCUCCAAGUGUGAUUCUCCAACUUUUCAGGAAAAUUUUAACAUGAGGUGCUCUUUUAAAAGUUAGACUGCUAGUCGAGACAUAGGGAAAAUGUGUAAAUUCUGACAAAAAUGAAAAAACCAGCGUUUUUUUCAUUGUGCCAUGUGUUUUUUACAAGCCACGUUUUAAAACACAUUAACGUUUAGGUACUUUUUUGGCGUUCCACGAGACAUCUCUUGAAUACGACCAUUAAAUUUUAUCCGGGUGCAUGACUUAAACAAAAAAAAUUUCAAAAUGCCUGCUUAUCAUAAGUUUAGAGCUAUACGCAAGCGUGAUGGAAAUAUUGUGAGGAAAAUUUUUCUGGUGGUAUCUAGAAAAAAUCGAAGCGGAAUCUGAGGAGUCAGAGGUCGUAAAUGCUUCAAAUCAGACACAUUUUAUUUAGCCUUUCGUGCAAAAACCAAUAAAUUGAUAUUCAAGGCACUGAAUAAGGGAUUAAAUAUGCCAGUGUACCAUCAAUAAUGGAACAAAUAUUUGUUGUGUCCACCUUUAUGUCGUCUAAAAGGUUACACAUACUUGAAAAUAACAAUGAUAACUUUUGAAGGUAUAUGUAUUCUCUGUUGUAAGCUGAUAAAUGAUUGCAUGAUAAAAAUGUAAUAAAAUUUGACGAAUAGCAUGACUAAAUGUGAUAUGAAACAAGCGGCGGAAGAUAAUGCUCAAUGAAAAAUAUGUGAAUUAGUUCGUGUGAUUGACAGUCGAAGCGAUGGAACGGCAAAUAUUAAAUACUCACGAAAAGGAUAACAAACAGUUUUAAGGAUGAAUCUAAAAUUGUGUGGGGAAUUAAAUGAGUGAUGAGUUGUUGAUUUGAAAUGAAUGAUGGGUAGAUUAUUUACCAGGUGCACUGAUGAAUGCCUUUAAUUUUGAAUAGCACUGAUCAAAUUCGUCGAGCGCUCUAAGUCGAUUAAUUCAUAAUUUGAAAAAACCAAGCCGUGCGGAACACGCGAAACAGACCACUUAAGCAUUACAUAAUGCCUUAAAUCACUGGAUGAUAUAUAUAUUUGGUUAGAGAAAAAUUAUAACAUUGAUGAAUGUAUGAGUGAACGGAUUAAAAAGUUUUAAGUAAUUAAGAGAUAAUUAAAUGAGAUGUUGAUUGGCUUAGCAAACUGGGUGGUGAGGAUUAAAUGAGGAAUGUAAAUGAAAUGGAAAGAGAAAUCUAAUUGUAAUUUUAAGUCGUAUACAGACUAGGGAAGAAAAAAGGAAGAUAAAAGGGAGAGAAAUGUGCGGAAUUUAGAGGAAGGGAGGCAAAGAAGAGGAGAAAACGGAAAGACAAAGGGGAGCAAAAAAAUAGGAAAGAAAUAAAUGAAGAAUAAAGGGAAAGACGAUAGGUUGAAAGGGAGAAAUGAAGUGCAAAAGUUUUAAGAAAAGUGAAAAGGGAAGAAAAAGAGGAGUAAAAGGGGGUAAAAGAAAAGCAAAACGGUGGUAAAUGGAUAUCAAAAGAGGAGGAAAGGGGAAGCAAGAGCGGAAAUGAGGAGAUAAAAAAAGAGAGGAGGAAAAAUGGGGAAAUGACAGGGAAAAGGUAGAAAGAGGGAAAGAAGACGGAAAAAAAAGGAGCCAAACGCCACACGGUAUGAGCAAUAAAAAGGAAAGAAGCGAAGAAAGGGGAGUAAAAGAGUUGAAAAAGAGAAGUAAAGAGGAGAAAAAGAGGAGGGAAAGAGGGAGAUAGGGGGAGGAAAAAAUAAAAAAAGGGGAUGAAAUUGGAAGGAGUACAGGAGAAAAGGGGGAGGAAAAGGGUGGAAAAUGGGAGGAAAAGGGAAGGAAAAGGGGAGGAAAAGGGGGGAAAGGGGAGGAAAGGGGGAGGAAAGAGGGGGUUUUCCUUUUUUUCCCUUUUCUUUCCCUUUUCUUUCCCUUUCUUCCCCUUUUCUUCCCCCUUUCUUCCCCUUUUCUUCCCCUUUUCGUCCCCCUUUUCUUCCCCUUUUCUUCCCCUUUCUCCCCUUUUCUUCCCCUUUCUUCCCCUUUUUUCCCCCUUUCUUCCCUUCUCCCCCCUUUCCUCCUAAAACUUAAAAUCUUGAGGAGGGGGAAAAGAGGGUCUUCCGAUGAAAGUAGGGGAGUAAAACCCCCCGAACGUUAUCCGAAAGAGUAGGAUGAGCGGAUGCCCAAGACGCACAUGAGACAAGACCACGUUCUGACUGAUGUAGGAGGUCCAGGGCUCCAGCGGCAGCGGCAGCGGCUGAGCCCAGAAGGAUUCGCUCUCGAGUUACGUCACGCGCGCUCGCUCUUAUUCGCGCUCCAUUCAGCUUCAGACGUCCACUCGCUCCCUCGCUCAUCUCGCGGGGAGCCCCGUGCCCCGACCCCCAAGGACCCCGCACGGGCACGCACUUGACGCCAUAGCGGCCCCGGCCCCCAUCCCCGCCCCCCCCCCC
rnacentral:lncRNA from 1 species